GACGAACGCUGGCGGCGUGCUUAACACAUGCAAGUCGAACGGAAAGGCCCUGCUUUUGUGGGGUGCUCGAGUGGCGAACGGGUGAGUAACACGUGAGUAACCUGCCCUUGACUUUGGGAUAACUUCAGGAAACUGGGGCUAAUACCGGAUAGGAGCUCCUACUGCAUGGUGGGGGUUGGAAAGUUUCGGCGGUUGGGGAUGGACUCGCGGCUUAUCAGCUUGUUGGUGGGGUAGUGGCUUACCAAGGCUUUGACGGGUAGCCGGCCUGAGAGGGUGACCGGCCACAUUGGGACUGAGAUACGGCCCAGACUCCUACGGGAGGCAGCAGUGGGGAAUAUUGCACAAUGGGCGGAAGCCUGAUGCAACAACGCCGCGUGCGGGAUGACGGCCUUCGGGUUGUAAACCGCUUUCGCCUGUGACGAAGCGUGAGUGACGGUAAUGGGUAAAGAAGCACCGGCUAACUACGUG
rnacentral:rRNA from 1 species